GAUUAACGCGAAGAACCUUACCAGGGCUUGACAUGCACGGUGCAGCGCGAGAGAUCGCGUGUCCUUUGGGGUCGUGCACAGGUGGUGCAUGGUUGUCGUCAGCUCGUGUCGUGAGAUGUUGGGUUAAGUCCCGCAACGAGCGCAACCCUCGUCCUGUAUUGCCAGCAACGGUUUCGGCCGGUUGGGGACUUGCGGGAGACUGCCGGGGUCAACUCGGAGGAAGGUGGGGAUGACGUCAAAUCAUCAUGCCCCUUAUGUCCUGGGCUGCACGCAUGCUACAAUGGCCGGUACAGAAGGCUGCGAUGCCGUGAGGCGGAGCGAAUCCCGGAAAGCCGGUCUCAGUUCGGACCGGGGUCUGCAACUCGACCCCGUGAAGUCGGAGUCGCUAGUAAUCGCAGAUCAGCAACGCUGCGGUGAAUACGUUCCCGGGCCUUGUACACACCGAAUCACUAGU
rnacentral:rRNA from 1 species